rnacentral:lncRNA from 1 species
CUCGAUUCACGUAACCGCCUAGGAAGUUCAGUUACGCACAGAAUGAUACAGAAACAGUACUUCGAUUAAUUAUACAAACCGACAAGGUUUUAAUACAACUCCAGACUAAACUAAAACACACGCAACGGGCCUACAACCUUACACUACAAACAAAAAAGCGCAACUUUGCACCACAGGAACAGCCUGAGCGUAGAGUCGACCUAAAAGUCGAAGCCUUCAUCUUCGCCCCACUCCUAGGGGUUCUCAAACUCUUCGAUUUCACCUGCAACUUCUUCCUGACCCACUGGAGCCAAAAGCAUGCAAGACUGAGUACACAAGUACUCCACAAGCCAAGCAGGGAAAAUAGUAAACUAGUAAUGCAUGAUUAACAAAGGAAGGAACUGGUUCAACUCUCUAACCUUAGCAGUUGUUUACAAAUAAACCCAGAUAAUAGCCCAACAAAAUAAUCAAGUAUAAGCAUUAUUUUAUGUCAUUUAUCUACCAUAUUAAACAAUAACUCCAAAUUUACCUUUUUGCCAACACACUGGAUUCACCCAUAGACAUAUCUCCAUUAACCGGGAGCACGGCGUAUUCGAAUAUCAAACGACUCUACAACGUCUACCUAGCUUUACCCACACGAUACCCAUAGCUAGCCAGGCUAUGAAUAACACAUCACAAUACAGCCCCAAGCUUAUCUAAAAUCUGCCUAGCGGGUUAUAGGACUUUGUGGCUGUUGGCCCCGUCCCGAACACAGAGGGGGUGUGUUCCAACCCGCCACAACUUCCAUCCACUAUUGAGCAUCUCAGAGGCACAUCAGCUCCUCCUGACCUCUUUGGGCAUACGCAACGCCCUGGGCACACGCAGGGCCCUCACUCAAACAAUUACAAUACUCACAACACUCAGUGGCCAGUACACACCUAAGGUCAAUAUUGCCAUAUACACAGAUAGGCUGCAGAUCAUCAACUCACUGGAGCAACAUGUGUUAUGGCCGAGCAUCUCGAUCGUGUGGAUGGGUGUAAACUAUGUCACAUAUACUGGCAUAAGGUGGUUAAGUCCUUAUAGUUUUUCAAAUAAACUAUAUAACAUCUAUGCUUUCACAUGAAAUAAUGAUAGCCAUAUAAUAAUCAUCUAUCCUACACCAGGGUUAUCAAGGCAUAACAGGCAUAAUAUCAAGGUAUGGUAAUAUUUAAAGCAAUAUAAUAAAUGGGUAACUUCUAGUAAAGGUGAUAAUUUAAUUAAUUAACACAUGCAAGCUAUAUAUGUACUUCAAGGUAAGUACGACUACCCAAAAUAUGACCUAGCUCCAGAUUAGGUUCAAAUAUGAUCAAAGAAUACUUGACUUGCCUUCAGGGUCGACGUACUUGUCCCAGACUUCUCUCCCUACAACUACGGUGUCGUAGGUGUCGGCGAUGAACUCCGAUCUUGCUCCUUCUGGAUCAGUGGCGAUGUAGUCUAUCGAUACACAAAUAAAAUAAAAUAGAUAAGCGAUUAACUCCAAUUAAACACCAGAACUUUAGAAAGUGCAUAAAAAGGGGAAAAGGAUGCUAGGAAUGAAUUUUGGGAAUUUUGGGAUUUUUAUUGGUCGCAAGCCCUAGAAGUCAAAAUUAGGGUCGCGCCAACGGAUGCUCGGAUGGUGAUGAAAGUGGUUUCAUUGGACUCGGAAUAAUUCAAAAAGUCUAGAAUAGGUCUCAGAUUUGGAGUCGGAGGUCAAAUGGAUAGGUAAAUAGGUUUAAAGUGAAAAGGGAAUUUCUAGAAUUAUUCUCAGAUAGGAAAAUCCCUAUUUUCUCUCUCUUCUCUUUCUUCUUCGUUCUUUUCUUUUUCUCUGCUUCGUUCUUUUCUCUCUCUCGUGCACAGGGGAAGCGACCAUGGAGGGAUGGGCGCUGGUGGUGAGGAUGGCCGGCUCCGGCCGAGGAGGCAAGAUUUAGCGACGGGAGGUCGAGGAGGUCCCCCUCCCCUCGGUGGCGGCGGCCUAGAUCUGGCGGCGGAGGCAGCCGCGGCGGGGGGGGCGCGGCCGCAAGUGGGGCGGGGGGCNNNNNNNNNNNNNNNNNNNUGGCGGUGCAGGAAGGACUAGCAGCUAGGCUCGGGAAGGCGCGAGGCGGCGAGUCGACGUGCAAGCCGACGACGCCGAACAGGGCAGAGACAGAGCAGCAGCUCCGGCGGUGGCGAUGGCAUAAUUCCGGCGACAAUUUCGCCGGGGAAAGUAAGGGAAAAGGAGGGAUGGAAGAUCUAGGUUCCAUUUUUACCACUAAUUUUGGAAAUGGAGCAGUGUGAGCGACGAAUUUUGCGGUGGAACGCCGGCAACCAAAACUCGAAUUCAGGCGAAGUUUAAACGAGUUGCGGCGACUCCGGUCGUGGAAGGCAGCGCGGGUUCAAGAGAAUGAAGAAGGAGAUCGCUGCAGCCUUCUUCUCUGAGCAUGGCAGCAGCAAGAGAGGGGAGACAGAGAGGGAGUUUGGAGGAAGCAGCAGCAUCGGCAGCAAAUAGGGAGAUGAUGAUCAUAUAUACUCGACUUUGAGUCAGUUGCGAUACCUUGGUUACGAGGUAAAUGGAUGUGGAUGACAACGGUGAUUGCUUCAUCAAGAAGCAGAUGAAUUCUCCCCUCGGUUGAGACUUGGAUGAAU